rnacentral:rRNA from 1 species
GGGUGAGUAAUGUCUGGGAAACUGCCUGAUGGAGGGGGAUAACUACUGGAAACGGUAGCUAAUACCGCAUAACGUCGCAAGACCAAAGAGGGGGACCUUCGGGCCUCUUGCCAUCGGAUGUGCCCAGAUGGGAUUAGCUAGUAGGUGGGGUAAAGGCUCACCUAGGCGACGAUCCCUAGCUGGUCUGAGAGGAUGACCAGCCACACUGGAACUGAGACACGGUCCAG